rnacentral:lncRNA from 1 species
GCAAGGCUCGAUUCUGUUUCUUCAACAUGGGUGUGAGACACGCCCGUGCCGUGAAGCCAUGGAUAGCAAUACAUGGGCGUGGGAGAAGUGAAUAAAGCUAGGCACGACCGUGCGAUAUGGCCGUGGGCCACACACGCCCAAGACACACAGGAGUGGGAUAGUAGCCAGGCACGACCUAAAUUGCAAAAUUUGAAAAACACGGGCUCACUUUUAGAGUACGCGAGCGUGGCCCUAGGCUGUGUGGCUUCCCCCUAUACAAGCAAACCACUGUUCAUUUUCUUCUUCCUUUCAAAACCCUAGCCGAAAUCUCCUCCUCUCCACUCCCUAAUCCCUAUUCCGGC